rnacentral:lncRNA from 1 species
ACCUCCACCAAGUCCGGUAUAUUAUCACCACCCAUCACCACCACCUCCACAACCAGUAUAUUACGCGCCACCAACAUAUAAACCUCAAUCACCACCACCACCUCCACCACCAGUACAUUACGAGCCACCAACGUACACACCUCAAUCACCACCACCACCUCCACCAGUACAUUACGAGCCACCACCAUACACACCUCAAUCACCACCACCUCCACCAGUACAUUACGAACCACCAACGUACACACCUCAAUCGCCACCACCACCAGUAUAUGUGACACCGUCUUCACCACCACCACCAGUAUAUGAGCAUCCAAAACCUCCAACUCCAA